rnacentral:rRNA from 1 species
GCGCUAUUGGAUGAGCCUACGUCGGAUUAGCUUGUUGGUGAGGUAAAGGCUCACCAAGGCGACGAUCCGUAGCUGGUCUGAGAGGACGAUCAGCCACACUGGGACUGAGACACGGCCCAG